UCAAAGCCUUUAAAAAGUGUAUAUUCAAUUUUCUUCGCAAUUAUAUAAAAUGAAUACAUUAUUGAAAAUUCAACUGGUUCGCCCCAUUUUUCGGUUCACAUUAAGAAAUUAUGGAAAAACAGAGCGUUUUAUGUGGUGCCAGAAGGAGUAUGCUGGAGUCCCCAAAGUUGUUUUCUUGAAUGGAAAUGAGAUUCCAGUAAUUGGGCUUGGAACUUGGAAUAGCCCCAAAGGUGAGGUCACCAAGGCUGUGAAAGUGGCCAUUGAUGCCGGAUAUAGGCACAUCGAUUGUGCCCAUGUCUACCAGAAUGAGGAUGAGGUCGGAGAGGGCGUUGAGGCCAAGAUCAAGGAGGGCGUUGUCAAGCGCGAGGAUUUGUUCAUCACCAGCAAGCUGUGGAACACUGUCCAUCGCCCGGAUCUGGUCAAGCCUGCUCUGGAGAACACGUUGAGUGCCCUGAAGCUCAAGUACCUCGACCUGUACCUCAUUCACUGGCCCAUGGGAUUUAAGGAGGGCUGUGAGUUGUUCCCUGCCGACAAGGAUGGCAAGACCCUGUACUCACCAGUCGACUAUGUCGAUACGUGGAAGGCCAUGGAGAAGCUGGUGGAGGAAGGACUGGUCAAGUCCAUUGGUGUUUCUAACUUCAACAGGCGGCAGAUUGAGCGUGUGCUGGAGGUGGCCACCAUUCCACCGGCCACCAACCAGAUCGAGUGCCACCCAUACCUGACACAGAAGAAACUGAUCGAUUUCUGCAAGUCGAAAGAUAUUGCGAUCACCGCCUACAGUCCCUUGGGAUCUCCCAACCGGCCAUGGGCCAAGGCUGGCGACCCGGUCAUUCUAGAGGAGGCAAAGAUCAAGGAUAUAGCCACCAAGAAAAACAAAACUCCUGGACAGAUCCUCAUCCGCUAUCAGGUGCAGCGCGCCAACAUUGUUAUCCCCAAGUCGGUGACCAAGGAGCGCAUCGAGUCGAACUUCCAGGUCUUUGACUUUGAGCUGACACCCGAGGAAAUCGAAACCAUCGAGAGCUUCGAGUGCAACGGUCGUCUCGUGCCCCUGCUCAAUCACGGUACCCAUAAGUAUUAUCCAUUUCACGAUGAGUAUUGAGCUUAAAGAAAGCGAUACCUGCAAUCCAAAAAAUAAAAUGAAGCAGAAUACCUCUAAAUGGGAAAUUAUUCAUAAUGCGAAAUGAACCUAUUGCAAGAAAAAUAUCUACAUAAACAUGAACAUGAGGUUAACCCACUACGGUCACCCCCACCACCCAUUCGAGAAGGACGAAUACUAGUAGGCGACACAGUGGGCAGUUCAAAUUUACAAUUUGUUACAUAAUCAUUUAAUCUUUAAUCGUACGAAUAAACAAACCUGGAAAUUA